UAGAAGAUUCUCGUAGACAGCUAUCGUCAAAAAUGUAGCUGAAUCGGACUUCUUGUUUUAUAUUGACGGCGUUUGAAAGCGAGAGUGGGUGCGAAAUUUAGAAAAUAAGCUAUAAGAGCAAUGUCGGUUGGUGAUUAUAUUUUGAUGUAACAAGUGUCAAUGUAACCAUAUGCCGUUUUGUGUCCGUCAAUGAAACAUAGUCUCGCUAGUACGCAUCAGAAACCAAGGAACACUAUUUCAGAUGCGCUGCCAACUUGCCGCAAAGGUGGUGGUUAUUGUUUUCUGAGAAACACAAAGAUACCUGAUCUGCAUCGAUUACCUGAUGAAGGACAAAAUACUCGAAAAUAUGACGAACUAUUGGGUCGAUUCAACUCCGAGUAGCAGUAAAAAUGGUUCUAUUUGAACCCCCAGAGGUGAUCUAGUGACUGAAAUUAUGGAGGGAACACUUUUCCAGCCUGCUGAAUGACAGUGAAAUCAUAACACGAAGAGAUGGUGAACCCGAUUCCCUAAUCGUUGAUGAUGGAGCGGACUUUCCAUUGCCAGACUAUGAAGAAAUUCGAAUAGCAAUUACGCGCCUGAAGAACGACAAAGCGGCGGGGGCUUCUUUGUAGAAUAUGGUCGGACGAAAGUAUACUCGUCGAUUGGUAUUUAAGUGUACUCUGCCCAUUCCACAAAAUCCCAAGAUCCCAAAAUCGAGGCCAACUACCGUGGGAUAAGCCUCCUCAACAUCGUUCUAUCGAGCGUACUGUUUUAAAGAUUAAAGCUUAUCGGCAACAAACUGAACGGAGCUUUUCAGUGUGGUUUCAGGCCUGGAAAAUCAACAACUGAUCAAAAACGAAGAAAAUGGGUCUGGUAGUUAAUAAGGGCAAGCCAGUUUUAACAAAAACAAUAAAAAAAGACUCGAAAUCCAACGCAGAGUAACUCUUGCCAACAGGUGCCAUUUCGAACUAAGUAGGAAAUUUAUAAGUAAAGUCCUCUCUCGACGAACAAAGACCAAGUUAUCACUCAUCAUCUCCGUCCUGCUAAAUGGUGCAGAGGCAUGGACGACAUCUGAUGAAUCGGAGUUACGAAUUUUCGAAAGAAAGGUUCUGUGGAAAAUUUUUGUGAUAUUUUGCGCAUUGGCAACGGCGAAUACUGCAGUCAAUGUAACGAUGAGCUCUGCGAGAUAUUCUACGACAUUGACAUAGUUCAGCGAAUUAAAAGACAGCGCCUAUGCUGGCUAGGUCAUGUCGUCCGAUUUUAUGAAAACAUUCCAGCUCAAAAAGUGUUCGGACGUGUUUAAAAUUUCAGAUUUAAUACCAGUAACACUCAGGGAGAAGCUUGCGUAUGUAUAGUACAGACAGAUGGAGGGAUAGAUGGAAUUGCUUUUCGUUCAUAGCUUCACCAUAAGGAAUAAGCAAAAGCAAAAAUCGAUGACGAACCGAAACUUGUUCUAGCUAGAGAAAAAUCAAAACUUAACUAAGCAUUCAAAAUGAGGACCAACAUAAUGCAAAAAAACGAUCGAAAAUGCAUUUAGCACGUAGCCCGCGAAAAUUGAAAAUUCGCAAAACUCGUAGAGUUAGUUUUUCAAGAAACGGUAUGCAACCUGAGAGGGUUGGUGUUGUACUCCCAUCAUUGUUGUCGAUAUUGGUCGAGGGUGCCGGAAGAUUGUCUAUAUAGAUAACGUUGAUUUUACAGCAAGCGGAAAGCUCCUCGACACAGUCUACAAGUUAACUCGAAGUGAUUACCUACUGGGCAGAUAGAAGCGGCCAAUGCUAUCAAUCCAAGACACCGGAAAAAGUAACUAAGGCUCGUCCAGAUUGGAAGCUUUCUAGGAGGCAGAUGACUGAAGAGAAAGUGGGUCAUUCAUCGGCUGCACCAUUCUGCUGUGAAGGGACCAAUGGGCUGAGGAGAUGGGUUAAAUCAUUAUAAUUUCAGACUUCGCGGAUCAAUGACGUGCCUUUCAAACAGAAAGCAUGUUAUAAAGCAACUAGUAGAUAUAAUGUUUCGAAGUACAGCCUUCUUAAGGGACGUGAACAUUCAUGACUAUAGCAGAGCGGCAAUUUUGAUCUUGAGUCUUUUAAUUGUGGCCUUUAGACUAGUUAAGGUGAGUGUGGCUUCAUUAUCAUUACGAAAACGUUAAGUUACCGUUAAGUAACUUUGUGAUCAUGCUUGUAAGAAUAUCAGACCAAAGAAGUAAAUCUGGAAACUGUAAGACAGAUGUCUUUGUACGAAAAAGUUUUCAAAAAACUGCAUACAACAACUGGGAAUGGGUUGAACCUCUGCUCUGCUCUUGCGGUCUAGCAGUUGAUGACUGGGCUUCUUAAUAUUAGUUUGGUGAUCGCUGAUCAACUGAUUUUCGCUGAUUUUACUACAAAUUAAAAGUUCGUAGUGCUACAUAAACUGGUCCGCAAUUAACUAGUUUCAUAUACACUUUUCACAUUACUUCGUGUGUGUGUGUGUACACUCAGCCAUUAUUAAUAAAAUAACUCACUUAUGUACAUAUUCGAUAUCAUUUCGGUGUGUUGUUG